rnacentral:rRNA from 1 species
UACGGAGGAUGCAAGCGUUAUCCGGAAUGAUUGGGCGUAAAGCGUCCGCAGGUGGCUAUGUAAGUCUGCUGUUAAAGAGUCUGGCUCAACCAGAUAAAGGCAGUGGAAACUACAUGGCUAGAGUGCGUUCGGGGCAGAGGGAAUUCCUGGUGUAGCGGUGAAAUGCGUAGAGAUCAGGAAGAACACUGGUGGCGAAAGCGCUCUGCUAGGCCGCAACUGACACUGAGGGACGAAAGCUAGGGGAGCGAAUGGG